CAAUCUGCCUUUGGAUGGGGGAUAACAGCCGGAAACGACUGCUAAUACCGCAUGAUGCAGCGAGACCGCAUGAUUUUGCUGCCAAAGAUUUAUCGUCCAAAGAUGAGCUCGCGUCUGAUUAGCCAGUUGGCGGGGUAAUGGCCACCAAAGCGACGAUCAGUAGCCGGACUGAGAGGUUGAACGGCCACAUUGGGACUGAGACACGGCCCAGACUCCUACGGAAGGCAGCAG
rnacentral:rRNA from 1 species